rnacentral:ribozyme from 13 species
UUCUCUCUCUCUUUUCUCUCUUUUCUCUCUUCUUUUCAUUUCUCUGGUUUUGGUUGACUCCAAAGAGGGGGAAAAAAACACGCAGUGGGGUGGUUGGUAGUGUAGAACUACUCUGUCUCUCUAAUUGUUCUUUUUCUUUCUCCAAGAAAAGAAAAAAACGCAACUCAAUACAACCCUCCCACCCCCCAACUUUCUCUUUCCCUCUCCCCCCUUUUCUGAAGACCUUCUUUUUAAA